CGGACGGGUGAGUAAUGUCUGGGAAACUGCCUGAUGGAGGGGGAUAACUACUGGAAACGGUAGCUAAUACCGCAUAACGUCGCAAGACCAAAGAGGGGGACCUUCGGGCCUCUUGCCAUCGGAUGUGCCCAGAUGGGAUUAGCUAGUAGGUGGGGUAACGGCUCACCUAGGCGACGAUCCCUAGCUGGUCUGAGAGGAUGACCAGCCACACUGGAACUGAGACACGGUCAG
rnacentral:rRNA from 1 species